GAUGAACGCUAGCUACAGGCUUAACACAUGCAAGUCGUGGGGCAUCAUGAUGUAGUAAUACAUUGAUGGCGACCGGCGCACGGGUGAGUAACGCGUAUCCAACCUACCCUCCACUCAAGUAUAGGCUUCCGAAAGGGAGAUUAAUCCUUGAUAUCGUCAUUCUCUCUCCUGUUAGAAUGAUAAAAGGACAUCGUUUCGGUAGAGGAUGGGGAUGCGUUCCAUUAGGUAGUAGGUGGUUUAACAGGCCACCUAGCCGAUGAUGGAUAGGGGUUCUGAGAGGAAUAUCCCCCACACUGGUACUGAGAUACGGACCAGACUCCUACGGGAGGCAGCAGUGAGGAAUAUUGGCCAAUGGGCGCAAGCCUGAACCAGCCAUGUAGCGUGAAGGAUGACGGUUUUUUUGAUUGUAAACUUCUUUUCUGUGCG
rnacentral:rRNA from 1 species